GCGUGUGAGUGGUGUUUGGAUUGUCUCUGCCGGCUGGCUCCGUGCUCGAGCGCCGAACGGCCGGCAGGCAAUCCGCGUGGGUUGUUGUGAGGUGGGAUGUUGCCUUAGAGGCUGGUUCUUGUGUUGCCUACCCCUCCAAGGGAAGCAGGCCACUUGCACUUAGCCUCCGUCUUGCGCCCUUCCAUUGGGCGCAGGAGGACAACGAAGCACCCCCCGUGUUCCACCGAGCCUUCACCGGUCGCGUGGCCCGCGGGGAAGUGCAGCGCUCUCGGACCCAGCGCACGCCGUGGACGAGGGCUCGUGCCCCGUCCUAAGAGGAGCUUUGAUAUAAUGUGUGACGGCCGCUCCCGUCCCUUGGCCGCCUCGGCGGUGCGGGGCCGGCGGGCGACGUCGUGGAGGAUUGCUACCUGGUUGAUCCUGCCAGUAGUCAUAUGCUUGUCU
rnacentral:misc_RNA from 1 species